UAAACGGUAUUUACUGCCCCUGUUUAAUUUAACUAAGGUGGCUUAAAGGAGGUAUGUCAGUUGUUCAAGGGUACAGAAGAAUUUUUUUUUAAACCGACUAAAUGUCACACAGGACCAAUGUUGUGUAAAAGAGCAGGUUUCCAAAGCUGAUGAGACUGGCUUGUUGUAUAACUUAUAUGAUACAAAUGGUGUUUUGGUUGAGGAAAAUACUGUGAUUGGAGGCUCAUAGGAAGCUAACACUCUAUUUCCCCUAGGAGUGAUCGUUUGACAUUUACUAAUUCAGUGAUUAUGGUGACUUUAUAGAACAUGGGCAGCACAAAUAACAAGAAUCAUCUGUAUACAGUGAAAAAAUCUACAGAAAGUUUGUCCAACGUGAUACAAUUUCCAAAAAAUAAAUUGAAGGAAAAUAUGCUGCUAGAAUUACUGCAAUUGCCACAUCCUUGAAAAACAAGAAAGCCUGUAAAAUGUAUAAGGUUAGUAUCAGAGAAAAA
rnacentral:lncRNA from 1 species